UUUUGGACAAUGGGGGCAACCCUGAUCCAGCCAUGCCGCGUGUGUGAAGAAGGCCUUCGGGUUGUAAAGCACUUUCGGACGGAACGAAAUCGCGCGGGUUAACAGCCCGCGUGGAUGACGGUACCGUAAGAAGAAGCACCGGCUAACUACGUGCCAGCAGCCGCGGUAAUACGUAGGGUGCGAGCGUUAAUCGGAAUUACUGGGCGUAAAGUGUGCGUAGGCGGCGUCGCAAGUCGAGUGUGAAAGCCCCGGGCUUAACUUGGGAAUUGCGCUCGAAACUACGGUGCUCGAGUGUGGCAGAGGGAGGUGGAAUUCCACGUGUAGCGGUGAAAUGCGUAGAGAUGUGGAGGAACACCAAUGGCGAAGGCAGCCUCCUGGGCCAACACUGACGCUCAUGCACGAAAGCGUGGGGAGCAAACAGG
rnacentral:rRNA from 1 species